rnacentral:rRNA from 1 species
AAUGAACGUUGGCGGCGUGGAUUAGGCAUGCAAGUCGAGCGCUCAUAGCAAUAUGGGAGCGGCGAACGGCGUAGUAAUGCAUCGGAACGUACCCUUCGGUCGGGGAUAGCCACGGGAAACUGUGGGUAAUACCCGAUGAUAUCUGCGGAUCAAAGGUGAGAUUCCGCCGGAGGAGCGGCUGAUGUGAUAUUAGCUUGAUGGUGGGGUAAUGGCCUACCAUGGCGAUGAUGUCUAGGGGGUGUGAGAGCAUGGCCCCCACGACCGGAACUGAGACACUGUCCGGACACCUACGGGUGGCUGCAGUCGAGAAUCUUCCGCAAUGGACGAAAGUCUGACGGAGCGACGCCGCGUGCGGGAUGAAGGCCCUUGGGUUGUAAACCGCUGUCAGAGGGGAUGAAAUCUCCGGGGGGUACUCCCCCGGAGUUGACAGAGCCUCAAAGGAAGCACGGGCUAAGUACGUGCCAGCAGCCGCGGUAAAGUAUCGGUACG